CAUAAAUAUAUAUAUAUAUAUAUAUAUGUUAUACAUUGGAAAUAUAUAGAGAAGGUUCUUUUAUUGUUGUUGUUGUUGUUGUUAUUGAUUAAGGAAAGGGAAAUAAUAUGGAGUCAAACAAGGUUGAAAGCAAGAUGAACAUACCAUGCUCAAAGAAAGGGAAAGAAGGGAACUUCUUUGAUAACUUGAAGUCUCAGUUUGAUGUUUUCAUGAACACUUCCAUGGAACAACAUAGGAUUUGUCUUCAGAGGAGUUUCAAUGAUUUCAGAGACUUUGUCAAGCAUAAGAGAGAAGAAUUGAGCUUGAAAGCAUCCAAUGCUGGUGGCAAUGGAGGUGAAGCAGAUGGGAAAGGAACAAAUAAUUCUUAGUUCUUAAUUCUCACUCAAUAUGAUUACAUUGGGAUGAAUAAUUGUUUUUGAUUUUUGAUUUCAAACAUUAUUGUUCAUGUUUAUGAUUUCUGAAUAUAUGAAUUCUGUCUCAAGGACUUGAUAUUUGAGAUUCUUAAUUCUUAUUUAAUAUUGGUGAUCUGGGGAUGAA